UACUGGGCGUAAAGGGUCUGUAGGUGGUUUGUUAAGUCAGAUGUGAAAGCCCAGGGCUCAACCUUGGAACUGCAUUUGAUACUGGCAAACUAGAGUAUGGUAGAGGAAUGGGGAAUUUCUGGUGUAGCGGUGAAAUGCGUAGAGAUCAGAAGGAACACCAAUGGCGAAGGCAACAUUCUGGACCAAUACUGACACUGAGGGACGAAAGCGUGGGGAUCAAACAGGAUUAGAUACCCUGGUAGUCCACGCUGUAAACGAUGAGUACUAGCUGUUGGAUUCGGUGUAAAGGAUCUAGUGGCGUAGCUAACGCGUUAAGUACUCCGCCUGGGGACUACGGCCGCAAGGCUAAAACUCAAAGGAAUUGACGGGGACCCGCACAAGCGGUGGAGCAUGUGGUUUAAUUCGAUGCAACGCGAAGAACCUUACCUGGUCUUGACAUCCUGCGAACUUUCUAGAGAUAGAUUGGUGCCUUCGGGAACGCAGUGACAGGUGCUGCACGGCUGUCGUCAGCUCGUGUUGUGAAAUGUUGGGUUAAGUCCCGCAACGAGCGCAACCCCUAUUGAUAGUUACCAUCAUUAAGUUGGGUACUCUAUUGAGACUGCCGCUGACAAGGCGGAGGAAGGUGGGGACGACGUCAAGUCAUCAUGGCCCUUACGACCAGGGCUACACACGUGCUACAAUGGGUAUUACAGAGGGCAGCGAAGUAGCGAUAUGGAGCGAAACUCAGAAAGGUACUCUUAGUCCGGAUUGCAGUCUGCAACUCGACUGCAUGAAGUCGGAAUCGCUAGUAAUCGCAGGUCAGAAUACUGCGGUGAAUACGUUCCCGGGUCUUGUACACACCGCCCGUCACACCAUGGGAGUGGGUUGCUCCGAGAAGUAGAUAGCUUAACGAAUGGGCGUUUACCACGGAGUGAUUCAUGACUGGGGUGAAGUCGUAACA
rnacentral:rRNA from 1 species